GACUGCAGAUCCGGAAAUCAAACUUAUAAUGUGUCAACUCUCGAGAGAGAAAAAAAAUCACAUGCUUCCGGUUCUUCUUCUUCCUUUUAAACCACAAACCACCUUCUGGUGUAUUGUUGUGAUUGGAUUUUAACAGCAAUGGAAGACAAAGUCAAAAUCUAAGUUUACAAUAUACAGAAGUAUAACAAUGGCACUAUACCGGUAACAGGAGAAUGGCGUUAAGUAAAGUGUUUACUCCAAGUGACAGAACAAGAUUUGCGAGACUUGCAUUGAUCAUAGUGGAAGAGCUGACGCCUAUUUUACGAGACGUGUUAGAAAAGGAAAUUUCUCCUCGCGUUAUAUUCAAUACAGUCAAAGCAAAUACACCAUUGUUUAGACUCAUUCGAAAAGAUCAACUUCUUAUUAUCCAGAAUGCCCAUACUGAUGGAUACAGAGACUUUCACAUUACAUUGCUUUAUACAUUGAUACGUAUUCUUUGUCCCAAUAUUCCAUCUCCCACACAAGUAUGGGGGAUCACAGAAAUGCCAUCUCAG